rnacentral:rRNA from 1 species
GACGAACGCUGGCGGCGUGCUUAACACAUGCAAGUCGAACGGAAAGGCCCUGCUUUUGUGGGGUGCUCGAGUGGCGAACGGGUGAGUAACACGUGAGUAACCUGCCCUUGACUUUGGGAUAACUUCAGGAAACUGGGGCUAAUACCGGAUAGGAGCUCCUGCUGCAUGGUGGGGGUUGGAAAGUUUCGGCGGUUGGGGAUGGACUCGCGGCUUAUCAGCUUGUUGGUGGGGUAGUGGCUUACCAAGGCUUUGACGGGUAGCCGGCCUGAGAGGGUGACCGGCCACAUUGGGACUGAGAUACGGCCCAGACUCCUACGGGAGGCAGCAGGGGGGAAUAUUGCACAAUGGGCGGAAGCCUGAUGCAGCAACGCCGCGUGCGGGAGGACGGCCUUCGGGUGGUAAACCGCUUUCGCCUGUGACGAAGCGUGAGGGACGGGAAUGGGGAAAGAAACACCGGCUAACUACGG